AAUGCACUUUAUUGAGUGCCAACAACAUCAGUAUGUGAUAGAUGGAGAGGAAAAAAGAAACAAAGGAUAGACAGAAAAAGGAAAGGGGGGAAUAGCUACCAAUGUAGAGAUGACAUCCUCGUGGUCACUGCCAAUAGAUCUGUCUUCUUCCAUUGGGGAGAUCUCAGAAUUGGUAAAGUUGUGGUGCUUUUUAGAGUCUUUUUCAAAGCGACAGGCAGUCUGCCAAGAGGUGGGGAGAAACCUGGGGUCCAUUGAGGGAACAGGUACAGGUACAAUCGGUACAGCAAAGGUACAGGACAGACCAGUCUGGCAGGGAGCACGGUCAAUCCACCGUGAAGUCCCAUUGUUUCGCAUGUACCAGCUCUUGGUCACGCCCGCGGGUGGAACCUGGCACACAUCCCACCUCAGUCCAGGCCAGAACUCCUGUGUUGGGGGGAGUCUUUCAGUCUCUGUCCUUACGGCGGUCGUGAGGCAGAUGAAAACUUCGGACCGUCACUUACAACCAUUUUGGUUUGUCUGGUCUUUCUGGGGUUCUUCACUAUCAGCGAAGAAAAAAAGUUGUUCUGCUUCUGUUAUUUUAAAACCUCGUUUCAAUGGACUGGGUAGAAAAUCUUGUGCAUGGUCGAUAGUAGUUUAAGAGUGAUAACCACUCCACCCGCUUCCACCUCUUCAGGCAUCUGUCCCCUGAGUUAAAUCCUCACCAGAAGGAUACAUAUCCUGUUGCCAUCAUACCCCAAAUGGAACCUAACUGCAGCAAAGAGUCCCGAGCACAUCACCACAAACACCAAGAUCAGCACUCCAAGCAGCACAGCUUGAGAAACACGAACACCUUUGGGCAAGCGAGGCCUGAACACCACCACCAGCCACACUCAGCAAGUGGCAGCAACACUGCUUUCCCAAGGCAGACUUAAAAAAAUCAAAGAGAGAACUAAAAUUCAUAGCUAGACUUCAUAGCAAAAAACUACAGACUUGGCAGCAACACUGGCUGCCCAGAAUAUCACAGCUUUUCCUGACGGGUUUUUUAUUGCUCGUACUCCGUCUUUACACAGCAGAGGCCGUGGCUCUGUCAUGUCUCCUCUUCCAAACUUUCCUUUGUACCACAGAGGUGCGAACUCUCUACUCCUUUAAAGCUGUUAACUGGUGAAACUCAGCAAGUACUGCCUGCCUGAAGCGUGCUGCGUUCUCUCAGACCUGCGGAGGUGCCCGUGUGCUCCAGCCCUCACCCUUCUCUCCGGGCGCACUCGCUGGUGUGGAAGAGCUGCUGCCUCUGCAAACUCGACCCUACCAGCACUCCCAGACUCUUACAGCUACACCCCCACAAAUACUGCUGCUGCUGUAGGGGGCUGUUCUAUCUGUGAGAAGUGUCAGUCUGUCUUUAUUCCUAAUGAGGAGCUGGAAGUGCAGGGCGGCUCAGGUGGGAAGGGGCCCCAGGGGGUCUCCAGCCCAGCCUCCUCUCCGCCGCUCGGCUGUGAGAUGGGGUGGAUUUAAUGAUACUGCCUGCCGGUAGGAUGGGGCUGAGCUUUAAAGAAGGAAUACAAAGGCAGAAAUGCUUUAAAGAGCUUUUUGUGUGUGCAGGUGUUGCACGACCGAGGCAUUGUGUCUGUGUGGACCCCUGGUCAAAUUAAUACAUUCCACUUUUUCUCUCCCUCGUGGGUCCAUAUUGGGUAGGAAAACCACAAGACACAUCGAAUUGUUUCCUGCCAACCUGUAUUAAUGCUGAUGUAGACUGAGAUGCCGAGAUAUGACUGUUGGCUUUUCCUAAUUGGAAUGCUGCUUUCAGAUCUCCUGUCCCACAUCCUACAUGCAUAUUCAGUUUCGUCUCAGAGGAAAGCUCCUUUCUCCUCUGAAACUGUUUUUUUUUUUUUAUCUUUCCAGAUUUAUUUCCUAGGAACCUUGAAAGCAUGAAUACAUUACAGAAACAUUACCAAGAAUCCAAAGGCUUUGGACGCUUUGUGCUUUAAUUUUCUUUUGCUGCAGUUCCCAAUGUGAGUAUUUAUGGCCCUUGAAUGCCAUCCAGUGGUGGAAAAGCAGGGCAUCUCCCAGCCUGCUGAGAAACCGCCUCCAGAUACGGCAAGUUCACACGGAAAAUUAUUUUUACAUUAACAGCUUAUCAUUCUCAUGCCCUAUUUGUAGUGAGAUCAGAAACUAUAAAAAUAUAUUUUAUAUGGCAGGGCACAUCGACAGAAAAGCCAUCUGGCGUUUCACAGUUCUUUAAAAUGUGAGACAGAAAUAGACUGUAUUUAUAAUUUGAAUUAUAAUUGGCUUUAAAGCUCAAGCUUCAAACAACUGCAAGGGCUGACUUUUUCAUCUUCAUCAUGAUUUUUAAGGCAGGAUUUUCUCUUGGGAUUUGCUUGCUCAAGAGAGCUAAAGUGUGAGCUGCCAUGGAGGGAGACAGCUUUGUUAACUAUUUCCACGCAGGGCUUUGGAACAGCUGGGUGUUUUGGAAACUUAACAUGCAGAGAUUGCAAGAUAUGCCUUGUUGAGAGUACAUUGUUACUCAAGUGAUAGCACUUUCUACCUUUCCUAUGGUGUGGAUUCAGUAGGUAUUUGAUUCUAUGCAAUUACAAAAACACAGACUGCAGAUAACAAAGACUGGAUCCAUCAACAAAGCCAAUUCAGUCUGUCAAAUAAACACCAGCUUUGUUUGGAAGUCAGAAAUGUAUUUUGAAGGUUUUUUUAAUUAAAAGACCUGAAACAACAAACAUAUAGGAUAAGUGCAGUUCUUCAAAUAGUUGUCAUGGCUCAAUCCUUAAACCACAAUUUAAAGUCACAUUUCACUGUUUUCUCUCCUCACACAGUUUCUGCUUUUUCCCACCGCUGCCAUUUAAUGAUGGCAAUAUAGAAUGAACAAAGAGGAAAUGGCUGGAAAAACAGAAGAAAAAGGUUUCAAAAAGCCACUCUAAAGUAACAAGAAAACCCCACCAAAUCCUCAUUUGCUUACUUCUGACAUAGAAGAGCAUCUUCUUUUUUCUGUCUCUGCAAAACUGAAUUUUCGUUCCUUUAGGAUUCAAUACAUUGGAGGUUUUUUAUUAUUAUUAUUUUCAACACUCUCUGCCCAGUCACUUCUGAUUUUCAGUAAGAUUAUUGCCCAGAUUUCUUGUGCUUCAGUGGGAUUCUCCGUUUGCACCCUGAGUUGUGACCAGUUAUGGUGCCUGUUGCUAAACCACCAACUCAACAGUGAAGGUCAACCCUUGUUCUGAAGGCUCCACAUGUACCUUCUGAGGCUUCUACGUGUACCUUCCUCACAGAUUGCCUUGCAAGGAUUUGGGGUGCAGAGUUUAACGGAUAUUCAUGGUCUUCCACUUAAUAAUUCUCUUCUCCCUGGCUGCUGUUGGACAGUACCAGAGCAGAUUCCAGCUGCUUGGACAUCCAUACUGAUGGCCUGUUGGGAUACCCAGGAUACUGUGUCCAUUUAUUCCAUGUAGCAUGAAUCCCAGGUGUGGUUCAAGAGAGAACACUUGGACUGUUCCAGUAUGGUUCCUGUUUUGGAGGGAAAGUUUGGAGACAGACAGAGAACUCCUGAGCUCGCCCUAGGAGCUGGAAGCAAGGACUAGUGGUGUUAGUUGGCUAGGUGUCUGUACCUUUUAUGCACAGGUCCUGAGCUUCUAGAAUAUAGUACUCAAAUAUCUCCUGGAUCGCAAACACUGCUUAUAGUUACACUUGGCAUUGGCCUUAAUGGCUGCUCAGUCCUUAGCUGUUGUAAUGAGGCACAAAAUAAAUUUUCAUUUCAUCCUGAGGGUUUAAAACAAUUUGCAUAUUUGUGAGGAUUGCUAUGGGUUGGGGACUAUGGCAUCAGAAAUGCCUCUGAAUUCCCUAGAUAAAAAUUUCAGGAAAACUAUUGCAGCAACAGUGGCUUACAUUUUGGGAUUCACACCCCAAGUAUACCUGUCACUGAACACUAAUCCCAGGAAAGAGGUAUCACCCAGCUCUGUUGGUGUUACUUUUCUUCACUCUUUGCUCUGACAGACAUAUUCCCAAUGCCUUUUGCAUUAGGAUUUUCCAUACAUGUCUCUUGAUGACGCAAAUUGCAUCUCUCUUUUAUCUGCCACAUCUCUCAAAGAACAAAGUGCUCUUAGAAACAAGGAUUCAUAGCAGUUCUCCAAGUGCUGAAAAAUAAGCACAGAUCAAACCUCAAAAUUUAAGAAUGUAGUGUAAAAGUAAUUAAAUUAUUCACAGCAAUAGUUUGUAAGUUUAUUUGCUUGCUAGUUUUAUAGCCCUUAGUGGUACCAUACUUUUAAGCUUCCCUGCCUUCCUCGUACCCUUGCAUCCAAGUGGAGAGAGACAAGCAUAGACUGUCAGGGCUGCCUGUAGUCCUUCCACCAUCUCCCUUGGCUCCUCACUUCAGGCUGUCCAGGGGGUUCGGUAUCUCACUCCAGUUUUGGGGUUAGCCACUGAUUCCAAGCAGAAGGGUAAAGGGAGGUGAUUCAGGAAGCAGGGAGGGAAUGUGACUGCUACACUGAGUUAAUCCUGACACAGGUACCAUGUGGGUGGUGUUUGUUCCUGCCUGGACAGUGCCCUGCAGUCACGGCCAUGUGUCCUGCUGGUGCUCAAGAUGGUGGCAAUACCAGCAGGCAGCACAGAUCUCCAGUCCUAGCAGUUGGUGCCAAACAUCAGUUUUUCUGUCAGUCCUACACAAUCAGAGGCUGUGGUUUUCAUGUCUGAAGAAGCUGAUAGAUACACUGUGCAGCCAUAUUGAGACCCAUGCUUUCUACUGCCUCACAGGUGUGUUUUCUGCUUUCAGCUGGGCUUCAGCCUGGAGCCUCUCCUCGGAUUUCUGACUCUAGGUAGGGUUGUGCUGCUUGAAGUGUUCCUCUCUGUUUGCAUGUAGUACAGUUAAAGUCUUUUUUCCAGCAGCACAAUGUUGGAUGGAUGUUGGAUGGAGAUAAUUUCUUCACAAGACAUCACGAUUUUCACCAGGACCGAUCCUUUCAGUUCUGUCCUAGUCUGGUUUCUGUCAUGGGGUGCAAAUAUUCCUGUUGACAGUCUGUGUCUGUCUGCUGGGUCCUCUCUACUUUGCAUAUCCUGUGUCUGCCAGCAGGUGCCAUCAAAACUAAUCACAUGUCAGAAGCUACAUAGAAUCAUAGAAUAUCCUGAUUUGGAAGGGACCCACAAAAAUCAUCAAAGGCUGGCUCCUGUCCCAGCACACGACCACCCCAAAGAGUUACACCAUGUACCUCAGAACAUUCUCCAAACGUUUCUUGAACUCUGUCAGGCUUGGUGCUGUGACCACUUCCCUGAGGAUCUUUUUCUAGUGCCCAACCACCCUCUGAGUGAUGAAUCUUUUCCUAAUACCCAGCUCUCACAGAGCUUCAGGCCAUUCCCUCAAGUCCUUGUCACUGGUCACCAGAGAGAGAGGAGAUCAGUACCUGCCCCUCCUCUUCCCCUCAUGAGGAAGUAUAUAUUUGUGGGGGAUGGACAGUUCUGAUUAUUUUGCACUUUCUCUCCUUUUCUCCACAUCAAAGUCAGAAAGGGGAAGAAGUGAUCAAGGAUAGACUAAAAAUGAUUGAAAGAAUGGGUAAAGAACACGUGAGUUUGAUGUCGGGUUGAAAACAUCUUACUGAACAAGUAUGGAAAGAAUUAGCCAAAGCCACCUCUGUGUAAUUAACAGCUAUCUCAGAUAAGAAGGGCUGGUCACUGUGGUACCAGUUAGUCCUGGACCUGCUGGAUGCCUGGACUGCCACCCAUCUGCUAGCUGAGCAGGGAGUCACUUGUGCUCUCCUUUCCUAGUCUGUGCCUCACAGGGAUAUUUGAGAAUGCCACCUGAGGAUAAGUGGUUAUUUUAUGUGCAGGGCUUAUGUGCUUCACCAAGAAGCAACUUUUUCAUGCAUAUAUGUGAGGCAUAUGAAAAACAAUUGGCUGUAAAUCCUGGAGCUCAGAUGUAUGCAUCAGAGACUUCUCUUGCUGCUAAAGGUAAUUUUUUUCUGAUAAACACAUCCUUUCUUAAGUUGUGUGCUUCCCACAAUACUUAUCUCCAGGAAUAAGAGCUGUUGAAGAGUGCUCUGAUAGUUAAGUGUAGGCUGUGUGGGGCAUUUCAAACUUGUAAGUACCUCUUGUAAUAGGCACCCAUCUGCAGAGGAAUAAUAAGAAAGCAUGCAAUUCUGAUCUGUUUACUGAAUGUAGGCUGGUUUCUUGUCUUCUAUUCCCAUUGACUCGAGGUGAAGUUGAUGAUCUUUCACUUGCAAUUCAUGGGCCUCAAGCUCCCCAUGCACUGAGAUCCACAGAAAAACAGGCAUCUGAAGACAAUGUAAUUGUCUGUACAGUGAGGCUUUGAUGCUGACCUUGACCUUUCCAUUGUCAGGUGUGAGAUAGUAGUAUUUACUUCAAACACUGCUCCUUGUUUGAAUUUUGCUAGAAACUGUAUGAAGUCCAGUGACUUUGGCCCUGAUGAAGGAAACCCUUUCUCUUCACUAGGAAUGGAAUUUUUUAAUCGCCUCUAUAAGCAGUACAGAGAGACAUGUCCCUGUGCAGGGAGUCAUUCGUGCCCUUGUGUUGUGAGCAAGAUUACACGAGUAGCUCAGGUGCCUCUUUUCUGGGUGGCCAAAACUAGGUGAAAUAAAUCCCACCUGAGUGUUAGCUAACUGGUGGGAUGACCCUGGAGGUGGUGCCAUCAUUACAUAUCAUGAUGGUAGAGCAGCAUCUGUCCUGCUGAGUAGCUCUGAACUUGCUAGCCUGGCCUGUGCAAAGGCACUGCCUGGGGCCUGAGGCAGAGAGAGGGACAAUGAAGAAGGUGAGGUUGCUGAUGGUGCCUCAAGGAGAAGGCUGAUGGUCAGGAGAUGGUGGUUACUGAGAAUCUCAGGAGGCAGACCCAGGAUGAGGGUGCAGGUAGGAAGUGACAGUGAAGACUGCUGUUAAAUACCUUCUUUUGCAGUGCAUGUUUUCCUCCAGUGAACAGCAAGUAUCUGUCUCCAGCCAACUUUUCUGACUUGCUUUCCAUAUAUUUUUGUGCAGCCAAAGUUUACCCAGCAAUUAUUAAUAUUAAGCAAAUUUGAAGUUUGCUGUCAGCAAACACUCUCAGCAGAGACUGGAGUAUUAGUGCCUCCUUCUGUGGCUGAGCUGAGAAGAAAGGGUCUCAGGAGGUCUGUGGAGCACAUACAGCAGAGCAGCAGUUUGCACAGUGGAAGCUUUUAAAAUGCAUGACAUUUUGGGAGAAGUUUUUCAGAUUGUAAUGUCCAAAUAUCUCCAAUCUGCUUAUGGGCAAGACAUAACCAGAAUACAAAGGAAGAUUUGUCAGAUGGUAAGGGUUCAGAGGCUGUUGCAAAGAAUAGGGUGGGGUUUUUAUCUCUUUGUUGUGGUAGAUGGGAUGAAAAGCAACAUGAGCCAAUUGCAGCAAAUAAAGAGAUUCAGGUUAGAUAGUGAAUAAAGCUUUCUGUUGCUGAAGGAAAUGAAGCAGGGAAAUUGGCUGUCUGAGGUAGAUGAGGUAUCUCCAUCACUGGAGAGCUCUGAGAACAGAUUGAACAAAUAUUUGUCUGAAGUGACAUAGCUGUAGGUGACCCUGCCUUGAGGCUAGGGAAUGGAUGAGGCCCUUCCAGCCUUAUGAUCUUCUCCUUCUGAGAUGGAUUAUCUAAUUCAGAUGAGUCUGUUGGAAUAAACACCACAACAAUGUGUUUGUCAGACUGUUGGACCACUGUGAGUACAAAUAGUCAGCCCAACAGACAUGAGUUUACUGCUUCACAUUUAAUUGAAGUUUAUUUCCUAGAAUGGAGCAAGGGAUGGAGAAAUCUAUUUAGGAAGCCUAUUCUAAAAAGUGUGAGUGUAACACUUGCUGCUUCUAAUAUUGCAUACUGGCUCAUACAGCACUAGAAUUUUUAAAGAACUGAGCAGAAGAUGGGAGGGUUGGUUAUUUUUCAAGUGUGAGUUACUCUAUUCAGGACCUGAGUGGUGUACAACAGACUUGUGUGAAUUGCAGCAUCUUCCUGAUACUGCUGGUGCACGAUGCCUCUUCCCUGCAUGCUACUUGUGCUUCCCUUGCUGUGUUCCCUUCUCUCACUAGAUUUUUGAACAGAACCUAGGGUGACAUGAUGUAUUUUUACAGAAGCCACCUGGACCAAAGCUGUGUUCAGGGUGGUUAGCUGGCUGAGCAAGUACCACUCCCAGUAUCCAGUCAGCUUCCACCCCCUCAGCAUCUGCUCCCCACAGUUUCCCAUGGUGCGUGUGCUGCAGUUUGGUCACAGUGAUCUAGGCAGCCUCCUCAGUUCUCUGUGGUUUUGUAGUUAGUGCCAGCUGGCCUUUGGCCACCAAAAUCUGUGCUUGACAGCAUCAGCUGGGAAGUGACAACAAGGCUGGUCUCCCAGGGAAAACGAUGGUUGCUGGGAUGACAGAAGUGCUGGUAAAAUCGGCGUCAUCAUCACUACACCCUAGGUGUCAGUAUAGGUACACGUGUUGGAGGAAGAGCAGGGUUCCAGAGUAUGCCAGCACCACAUCCUGUGAGAGAUUUUUUGAGUGAAUUUGGCAGUGAAUGGUGAGGCCUCAGUCUAAAGAAAUUGUGAUUGCAAUAACCACUGCUUCACUUGGAGGGAUGUCCAGUCCCAAGAGCUCCAAAACAGUCAGACACAUUGCUGACAUGGGGGAGUGGUGAUCCUGGGCUGGGACAGGGGCAGCGAGCUGCAGAGGCAGCAGAUGACAGCAUGACUUGCAGGCUUCUGUGGUAAGGGUGCUGAUGGUUAGCACCUGCCUGGGGCAGGGGGGAUGGGUUACUGGUGUGAGCUUUCAGAAGGAAGCAGUUUCCUGUAUCUAUAUGGGGACUGGGGCUGGGCAUUGGUGAGCUGCCACUACAAGGCUGCUGGCUACUCUGCUCUGAGCCCAGGACCAUGAAGAUCCACAUCCUCAGGUGAGUGGCCUGGCACUCUUCUGAAUCAGGAGUACAGGAUAGUCCCAACAGGGCACUUGUGUUGUCUGUACUGGCCAAGACAUAGUAGAUUUACAAUUGAUGGCAACAGCUCUCGUCAAUGGGCCGUACUUCUGGUGUGUGAAAGACUGGCUGGUGUUGAUGCUGGGGCUCCAGCUCUUAAAAUAGCCCUGCAGUGCAAAUAACAGAAUUGUGGCAAGCCCCCUGUGCCUGGGAUAUGCAAGGAUCACCUGCUGCUUUUCUCUCCCUUUUUGAGCAGGUGGGGAGGCCAACACAGCAAGACCAGGAGUCUGUGGGUAGGCACAAGCUUCUGACUGGAGAUGAGACAAGGAACUUACUGGAGUGUUAAAACACCUGUGGAGAUGCUUCUGUGACUGGUAUUACCCUGUCUGUGAUAGUGCAUGAUCACAUCAUGCAUUCAUGACCACAUCAGUGUUGAUGUAGUCCUGAAGACCUGACAGGACCAGAUGAAACUGUGGACCUGGAGACAAAUCCUCAAACCAUACUGCUCCCCAAAGCACUGGGACUUCUCUCUUGUGCAGCUGAGGAAACUGGGCUGCCCUGGAGGGCAGCAGGCUGGAGCUCACACAUGGAUUUAUUUCUACUGUCAAGCCAAGGAGCUUGCACCAUAUUUUCAUUUCCUGCCUCUGCCUAUAGGCCAAAAGAUAAUUAACAAAUAUUUCAACAACACAGAUACACUAUCAGAUAAAAAAACGCUGUCAAUAAAAACUGUGUUAACACAGCCCCAUGUGUAUCACAUGACCUUGUGAGCAGAGAAGCUGUACUGUCUUACCUCUCAACAAUUACUUUUAAGCCUCUCUUUUUGUGUGUGUAUGCAGAAACUUAUUCUUAUCUCCAAAUUUUGGAAUUAGGUGACCUGAAAGACUGGCCUUGUUUGCCUCCCUUUUCUCCAGCACAUUCAUACAUUCAUUACAAAAAGGUGGCUAUUUUUUUCAUCUGAACAUAUUUUUUCACCUUUAUUUCCCUGGAUAGCCUUGCUGUUUCCAGAACCCUGUUGAUUUACACAACAAACUUGAAAAUGUGCAGUAAAAAUUCUUUUAUGUGAUUCAAAGACAGACCAAAGCAGGUGCUUAGUUGGAAAGAGAAUUCUCUUCCCCUAAGAAACGGACUUUUCACAGAGAGUGUGGGAUAUUUUUAAAAGACUGUUUUUAAAAGGUCAAAGUAGAAAACUCAUUCUUGCAUGACCGUGUUUCAAUGCUCAAGUGCAGUUGCCUGCAGGAGUCCAAGCUCCCUUUGGAGAUAUUGAAAAUCUAGGGCUUACCUCCACUGUCCACAGCUAGGCAUCUACUGAUACCUGAGGUGCCCUAAAAUAUCCUGCUGUUGUUUGCAGGUCUGUGGGGCCUGUGUCAUGCCUGGGUGCAGCUGUAUCUUCCAGGAUGAAGUGAAUCACAGCCCCUGGUUCCGAAGGCUGUGUUGGACAAAUCCCUCUUGGAGGUAAAGGGAGCAGGCAAACCCAGCACACCUAUAGGUAUUUCUAUACAUCUAAAUUUUGUGUUUUCAUAAGCAGCCAUAUCCUGUCCCAUCUGUCUCCAUUCCAGACAGUCUCUGGUAUCUCUCUGGUGCUCCCAAUCUCAGUCUCAUGAAGCUGGGGUUAUGAUGCAGCCGUGAUGAUUUGGUAUUUCAAUACAUUUUGUAUGCUGGCAAAGAGUAACUGAGCUUUCUUCUUUUUAGGCAGAAGGGUAAGUGAAAUGAUCAUAACUUUCUUUUUUUUGUCUUUAGAAAACAAAGCAUUCAUGAUUUGGACACCAAAAAGCUUUGAAUCCCAAGAAAGCCAACUACUACAUUUCCUGAGCUAGCAAGAAAAUGAGCUUCUUGUAAGGCAAAAUGUAGCAAUUACGUUGGCAGGAAUUCGAAAGAUAAGUGGCAAAGCUACUUUAGCGCCAAAGAGAGGUCUUACAUCUAUGGAAGUAUUUGAUUUUUGCUUUUAAUUAAUGUAGCUUCUUAAGAUGCUUACUUGUCAAUCAAGUCACCUUACAUAUAAUUGUAGAUAGGUUAAAAAGGUCAUGAAAUGGUGGGUUACAAAGAAGAAUGGAAAGACUUAUGUGAAGAACUGUGUGACUAGCAGACCUGAUGAGCUGUGGAAACAACUUGUAUUUUAAGUUGGUUGAAAGCCAGAAAGCUACCACUGGAAAGUAUUCAGUGUAAAGUAACAGGGAACAAUAGAGCAUGGAGUCAGUUCAUCAACCUAAGUGAAAGCCUGUAGGAAAGAUUCAUCUCCGGAACACCCCUGGCUGUUUCCUUCUAUUUUGCUCAAAAUUCCCUUUAAAAAUAAUGAUUUUCAUGAUCUGUUUGAUUAUUAGGCUUGUGCAUGUUCAUUUUUGAUAACACUUUGGCAAGUUACAUAUCUAACAAAUGAUGUUUGAAGCCUGUUUGUGAAGUACACCCUCCUAAUAAACAGAACUUACUGGUUAACUUAAUAAACAGUAACUUUCCUUUUUCAGACAAAACUCCCCUCGGGGUACUGUAGCUCUGACACAGACACUUGUCCUCACUACAGAGCAGGCUGGGUGUUUAGGAGUAUUUCUGAGGAUGACUGGCUUAUGGCCAUCCUGAGAAAUGGAAUUUCAGUGUGAGUGCCAGGCAUGAAGCUGCUGCCUUCCCACUGCCUGUCCCAGCUCAGAGAGGUGACGUCCAUGACCCCAAUGUGCACAGGGGCUGUGCUUUUGAACCCAGGGGUUGUGCCUGGUGGGGUUGAUUGCUGGCUGCCUCUUCAAAUCAAACUCUUCAGUGAUGCUCCUAAAAAUAUGUGAUCUCAGUUGCAAUGGGGAAAACAAAGUCAAACUCAGUACAGGUAAAAGUGUUUUUUCUUUAGCUUAUAGCACGUGAGACACCCAGAUGCACAGACUCUACCCAACUUCCUUGGGAUCCACAGCCCCAUGGCAAAGUCCAUUGCAGCUGGAUGAAUAUGGAACAGUCUUUGGCAGGAGGUUCACUUCCAUACCUUUGUUUUCCCUGCAGCGUGUUAUCUCCACCCUGCAACCACACUCAUGUGCAGAGGAAGGCAAUGCUCAGCAGCUGUGAAUUAAACCCAGACUCGAGCUGUGUCAUUGCUCAGCCAGAGCAUCCCUGGUUACUAGAUGCCGCUGUGGUGCUGAGGAAGGCUGCCGAGGAAAAGGAGGAGAGAGAGAUGAACAGGAGGGAAAAUUAAUGAACAGGAUUCACAGACCAAGAUACAGUGAAAUGAGGAGGAAAGAAAAGUGAUUAAGAAGGAGUUUUACCAUAUCAGAAGUGGUUCUGAGAAGGAAAAAACCCAUCAGCUGCAAGGAACAGGAGAGAUGUGGAAAGAUCAUCGAGGUGAUAAGGACAAAGCUUGCAGAGAAGAGAGUUGUGGUUGCCUGUGGCACAGGCAGAAGAGCAGAAACUGAGUGAAACCUGAGUAAUCUGUGCAGGGACAGGUCCCUCAAAGCAAAGAUACAGGUCCAUAAAAUGAUAAUAGGAUGGUCAAUUUUAAUGUGGAAGAAAGGGAAUGAAAGGAUAGAAUACAGAAGAAAAGCAACAAGAUAAAAAAAUAGGUAUUAAUGUUUGCUAGUAGGGAACCCAAAGGCAUCUGGAGGAGGCAACUGCAACAGCAGCUUCAGAAGGACAGCUGGAGAUAAACCUCCCCAACUCAGGCAGGGAGUCCUGAAAGAAGAAUCCCACUCCAUGUGGGCAAGCAGCAGGUCAUGCUUUUGUCACCUUCAGACUUGGUUUAUGCUCAGCUUGUGGCACUGCAUCAUUCCAGCCAAAUGCUUUCCCUCACCAAUAGGGAUGUCAUUCCUCAGUUCCAUUUGCAGUUUAUUACUCACAUAUUACUUACACUUCCUUGAGUCUUGAUAAGAAAAAUUAUUGUCAUCUGGUAAAUUUUCAAAAUAUUUCUAAGAGAUGGCUUCCAGUGCUGUUACAACACUUUUGUUACCUCUAGUAUUUGUUUUGAUGGAUUUGGAGCUGCCAUACUGUAGUUUUCACUGUUCCUGCAUGUCAGGUUGACAAAUGUGGUAUUUCCUCUGUUGUGUAUUGGUGUAAUUCAAAAAGAAUUUGUCCAGAAAAAUGGACAGGGAAGAAAAUUAGGGUGCAAGGCGAGUAAUAAAUAUUUAAAUGGUGCCUAGGAGUUGAUAACGGAAAAUAGCAAAUUCUCAGCUUUGAUUUUGUCCCUUCCCAGACUGAUUUCCAUAACAUUUGAAUCAGAAAAUUUUAACUUCUAUAUGCACAAAAGACAGGAUACAAAGGACUCUUUGUCUCUCAGGACAGGGGAAUUAGGUCUGUGAAGGACUCCCAGAGCAAGAAAUCCUACCAGAGCUCCUGACCAUAGGUUAAGUGGGCAAGAUUGCCAUUACAAAUUGUGAGAUGACCACAAGGCAUAUGUUCAGACUGCUAUUUAAAAUAAAUUAUUUUACUGUUUUUUUCCCUGAUAUGCAGAAAUAAUUAGGUUUUAGCUGAUGUUUUAAAAUUUUUGUAUAUUGCUGAGCUGCUGAGAAGAUGUCCAGUUGUCUAAGCUGGUGGGGGUAAGAUCCAUAGACCCUUGGAGUUGUGCACCACAGGAUUCAGGUGAAGUGUGGCACAAGUGAAUAAUACCAGCCCAGAACUGACUAAGGCACAAGGCCUGAAGAAAUAGGGUUAGAGGUAUUGAAAGUGUGACCACUCAGAUGUACAGUUAGUUUCACAAGUAUAACACUUGCUAGCUGCAUCCUCUCAAUUGCCAAACGAUCUGCACAGGUGUCUGCCCAACACCUUGAAUGUAAAUAUGGAAUCUUACACACAGAGAGCCACUUAAACGAUUUCUUUGGGUUAUGAAAUGGGAUCCUUUCUAGACGCA